rnacentral:tRNA from 1 species
AAGAUAUUAGUAAAAUGAAUAUUACACCACCUUGUCAAGGUGAGAUCGUAGGUUAAACCCCUGCAUAUCUUA